GCCGGCUGACUCGGUCAAGCAGGAGCCUGCGUCAUCGCCCUCCAGCCGAGCCAACACCCCGUCGGCCGAGUCGGCGUGCUCGGCGGAGGACGUGGCCGCCGCCCUGGACGCCUCCUGUCGGAAGUCGGCCGAAGUGUUGUCGAGCGCAGACAAACACUACCUGAUCCAGCGCUGUUUCCGGGCCUAUGACGUCAUCGGCAGCGCGCGGCUCGACUCGCCGGCGCUGCGUCAGAAGCGCAAGACCUGGGUGGAGAUCUGCACCGAGUACAACCGCAAAUUUGGCAGGAGUCUGGGGGUGAGCACUGUCAAGGGCGUGUGGCGACGCUUCGUCAAACAGCGCAAGGAUGACCUGA